rnacentral:rRNA from 1 species
UACGUAGGUGGCAAGCGUUGUCCGGAUUUACUGGGCGUAAAGGGCUUGUAGGCGGUUUGUUAAGUCUGGUGUGAAAUCUCCCGGCUCAACCGGGAGGGGUCAUCGGAUACUGGCAGACUAGAGACGGGUAGAGGAAAGCAGAAUUCCCGGUGUAGCGGUGAAAUGCGUAGAUAUCGGGAAGAACACCCGUGGCGAAGGCGGCUCUCUGGGACGGUACUGACGCUGAGACGCGAAAGCGUGGGGAGCGAACAGG